rnacentral:rRNA from 1 species
UACGUAGGGGGCAAGCGUUGUCCGGAUUUAUUGGGCGUAAAGCGCUCGCAGGUGGUCCGAUGCGUCGUGCGUGAAAGACCCCGGCUCAACUGGGGAGGGUCGUGCGAUACGGUCGGACUGGAGGCCAGUAGGGGGAUGCGGAAUUCCGGGUGUAGUGGUGGAAUGCGUAGAGAUCCGGAGGAACACCAGCGGCGAAGGCGGCAUCCUGGACUGGUCCUGACACUCAGGAGCGAAACGCGUGGGGAGCGAG